GACGAACGCUGGCGGCGUGCCUAAUACAUGCAAGUAGAACGCUGAAGAGAGGAGCUUGCUCUUCUUGGAUGAGUUGCGAACGGGUGAGUAACGCGUAGGUAACCUGCCUUGUAGCGGGGGAUAACUAUUGGAAACGAUAGCUAAUACCGCAUAACAAUGGAUGACACAUGUCAUUUAUUUGAAAGGGGCAAUUGCUCCACUACAAGAUGGACCUGCGUUGUAUUAGCUAGUAGGUGAGGUAAUGGCUCACCUAGGCGACGAUACAUAGCCGACCUGAGAGGGUGAUCGGCCACAAUGGGACUGAGACACGGCCCAGACUCCUACGGGAGGCAGCAGUAGGGAAUCUUCGGCAAUGGGGGCAACCCUGACCGAGCAACGCCGCGUGAGUGAAGAAGGUUUUCGGAUCGUAAAGCUCUGUUGUAAGUCAAGAACGGGUGUGAGAGUGGAAAGUUCACACUGUGACGGUAGCUUACCAGAAAGGGACGGCUAACUUCGUGCCAGCCGCCGCAGUAAAAC
rnacentral:rRNA from 1 species